CCCUUAGAUGUUCUGGGCUGCACGCGCGCUACACUGAAGCUAUCAACACGUUCUCCCUCCCUGAGAAGGGCGGGUAACCUUUUGAAUCAGCUUCGUGGUAGGGAUCGGGGCUUGCAAUUGUUCCCCGUGAGCCGGGAAUUCCUAGUAGACGCGAGUCAUAAGCUCGCAUCGAUUAAGUCCCUGCCCUUUGUACACACCGCCCGUCGCUACUACCGAUUGAACGUUUUAGUGAGGCAUUUGGACCGACGCAUCUCAGUUUAACCGCUGGUUUGUGUUGGAAAGACUUCCAAACUUGAGCGUUUAGAGGAAGUAAAAGUCGUAACA
rnacentral:rRNA from 1 species